AAACCAGCACCUCAAGUGGUCAGGAUGAUUAUUGGGCCUAAAGCAUCCGUAGCCGGCUCUGUAAGUUUUCGGUUAAAUCUGUACGCUCAACGUACAGGCUGCCGGGAAUACUGCAGAGCUAGGGAGUGGGAGAGGUAGACGGUACUCGGGAGGAAGUGGUAAAAUGCUUUGAUCUCUCGAUGACCACCUGUGGCGAAGGCGGUCUACCAGAACACGUCCGACGGUGAGGGAUGAAAGCUGGGGGAGCAAACCGGAUUAGAUACCCCAGUAGUCC
rnacentral:rRNA from 1 species